rnacentral:rRNA from 1 species
UACGUAGGGGGCAAGCGUUAUCCGGAUUUACUGGGUGUAAAGGGAGCGUAGACGGAAUUGCAAGUCUGACGUGAAAAUCCGGGGCCCAACCCCGGAACUGCAUUGGAAACUGUAUUUCUAGAGUGUCGGAGAGGCAAGUGGAAUUCCUGGUGUAGCGGUGAAAUGCGUAGAUAUCAGGAGGAACACCAGUGGCGAAGGCGGCUUGCUGGACGAUGACUGACGUUGAGGCUCGAAAGCGUGGGGAGCAAACAGG